rnacentral:rRNA from 1 species
AUGGCCAAGAGAAACCUGCUCCUCCUGGCGCUAAUGGCGCUCGCCUCAAGCAUGGCGGCCGCGUCGGUUACCUCGAGCACGAGGAAGCUCAUGUUCCUGGUUCAGCCCCAGCCGAACCAACUCACGUACCACAACGGUGCCGUGCUGCACGGCGAUAUCCCCAUCUCCGUCCUCUGGUACGGCAGCUUCACGGCUGCGCAGAAGGCCAUCGUCUCCGACUUCCUCCUCUCCCUCUCCGCCGCGCCCCCCGCUUCCCCGGCGCCGUCCGUAUCCCAGUGGUGGAGCAGCAUCCAGCAGCUGUACCUCUCCAAGGCGGCAGCCGUCGGCGAGCACGGCGCCGGCGCCACCAAGGCCGCACGGGUGGUCCUGUCCGACCAGGUUUCCGACGAGGCGUGCUCGCUCGGGAAGAGCCUGAAGCUGUCCCAGCUCCCGGCGCUGGCGGCGAAGGCGAGGCCCGCGAUUGGCGGCAUCGCGUUGGUGCUCACGGCGCAGGACGUGAGCGUGGAGGGUUUCUGCAUGAGCCGGUGCGGCCGGCACGGGACCGUGGACGCCAAGUCCGGCACGGCCUACGUGUGGGCCGGCAACCCGGCGACGCAGUGCGCCGGGCAGUGCGCGUGGCCGUUUCACCAGCCGGCGUCCGGGCCCCAGGCACCGCCGCUGGUGGCUCCGAACGGCGACGUGGGCAUGGACGGGCUCAUCAUCAACGUGGCGAGCAUGGUGGCCGGCGCGGUGACCAACCCGUUCGGCGACGGGUUCUACCAGGGGGAGCGCGAGGCCCCGCUGGAGGCCGCGACGGCGUGCCCGGGGGUGUACGGCAAGGGCGCGUACCCCGGGAACGCCGGCCAGCUGCUGGUGGACGGGGCCACCGGAGCGAGCUACAACGCCCACGGCGCGCACGGGAGGAAGUACCUGCUCCCGGCGCUGUUCGACCCCGCCACCUCCGCCUGCUCCACGCUCGUGUAG